UUUAUUUGUGCCCUAUUGUUUCAGUGACAGAGAAUUUUGACGAUGUAUUGGUUCCUUGCUGAUCAUGUAACCAGGAGUUAUAAUGAUACGUAUUAUGUUGAUUCCCAACAUGUCUUGAGGUGCCAUACAAGUGCUCACCAGGCAGAAUUAUUAAGGAAGGGCCAUACUCAUUUUCUCGUAACUGGAGAUGUCUAUCGUAGGGAUUCAAUUGAUUCAACUCACUAUCCUGUAUUCCAUCAGGUGAGGUGGAAAUGCGCUGGGUUGACACUUACUUUCCAUUCACUAAUCCAUCAUUUGAAUUGGAGAUUUAUUUUAAGGAACCGAACCAUUCGGGUUCCUGAUAUUUCCUGAUAUUUCUUGUUUGCUUGUGUCCUUAUGUUACACUCAGGGUGAUGAGGAAGAAGAUGAAGGAGAAGAAGAGGGCUUGAGUAAAUGUAUAGGGAAGGAGUUGAAAAAGCUUCUGUAGUGUCAUAGUCAUUGUAAU